rnacentral:lncRNA from 1 species
CUGGAGUGGGCUGCCAUGUCCUCCUCCAGGGGAUCUUCCUGACCCAGGGACUGGACCCGUGUCUCUUGCGUCGGCAGUUGGAUUCUUUACCACUGUGCCACCUGGGAACUCCGGAAUAUUGAUGAUGUAUUUGCAAAAGGCAGUUUUGAACAUACCAGAACAGGAAGCAGCCAUAAAGAUGGUCCUUUGGGAGAGGGACCAUCUCCAUCAUUCAGCAGUAAAACUGAGUUCAGCCUGGCGUUUGUUUCUUCUUAAUUCCAGAUCCAGAGGAGAAAAAAAAGCUUUAAAGUACUUUGUAUUAAUGUAUGCUGGCCACUGCCACCAUCCUCUGGAAGCAUUUAAAAAGAGGAAGAUGUGCCACAUAAGGGUAUGCAGGGGCUUGAUCCAGUCACGGAAGAAGAGCUCAAAAACAAGAGUCAACAUCGCCUUCUUUUCUCUUUACCUCUUCACUCUGCUCUUGUCAUCUUUUUAGGUUUGUUACUGGGCAGUUGAAGGACGCUGGGCGAGUCAGUUCAGUCCUUUUGCUUUGGGACAUAAAAAUUCAGCUGCAUGGUUCACAGAUAGUAUAUCUCUGCAGUAGCUUCUUCAUGCAUUGCAGCAUUUGUUUCUUAAUAAAUCUCUUGUGAGAUUUUAUGAUGCUAAAAUCAAAACAGGUUUUAAAUUGUUCAAACAAUUUGAAGCAGUUUAAAUUUUAGGUAAUUUAAAUAGUUGCUUAAGACAUUAUACAUUGGCAGGAAUGACUUUUGAAAUGCUUGAGUUGAAGAGGAAUGCCUUUGCUUGUGAUAUUAAGGGAUUUGUUUUACAAAUCUAUUGAAUAAGCUGAGCCAGUAUGAAUUAUGUUAUUAUCUUUUAAAGGAAAGAUGUCCAAAGUUCAAACAUCGGUUUUGAGGUUUUGAGUUAGUCCGACUGAACUUUCCAAGAAUUUUCGACCUCUUGGGUUUAACACAAACUGAAGUUUAAUGAGGCUGGCCCAGGUGACUUCUAAUCCUGUUUCAAACUUUACCAUAGCUCUGCUUGAACACUUUGAAUUUUAUCACAACGAAAAGGCAAAUUACUGAGCAUUUUAUUCAGGCUGUUGCAGUAGGGAAAACUUUCAUUAAUGAGGAAAGUCUCAAAGUAGAGAGAGAAAACUCGACCUUUUAUAGAACAAGAGAAUCACUGAGAGGGCCAAGCGAGGUGGGUCUCAUCUCAGAAUAUUCCAGGUCUUUUCCUUUUGCCCUUAAAGAGGGGGUAUGAUUGAACUGGUCAUUUUUCCUUGGGCUUAAAGUUCAACACUGUCUUAGCACACUGGGCAAAGUAGUUUUAAAAAGGUACCACUGGUAAAAGCUUAAUUAGUUAAUCAAAGA